GCUGACGACAUUACAACACCCCUUUCGCUGCCCUCGCGAUUUCUGCUUUGAAGUGAGCCCCACAUUCAUCGCAUUCAUGUCUCGGCCUCAGCAGCAGCAGCAGCAGCAGGAGCGGAUGGGGGAGGGGAAAAGAAUCCAAGGUGAUUGUCCACAAAAAAUCGGUCCAUUCCAGGUUAUUGACUGUGUCCAUUCGAAUCUAAAACACAGACUAUGCAUGGACUAGUGAAUACUGGGCCAGUGCUCAAAUCAGAUGGCAUCAGCAGCUGCAAACUCAGAUCUAUCCUUGCCCUUCCUGAGGCCUGGCUUUGAUUACUGGGCCCCCCACCACGAGCCAACACAUGGCCAUGAGCGCAUACCAACUCAGUGCACAACCUCUGAGCAACCACUUGGAAACAAUCAAGAGGUAAAUAGCAUGAAAUAGAGGUGUUUGGAAACGGUUUGGAGAGAUCGUGCAGAUUAGGAGAGUAUUUAGUAAUUGCUCAAAGCCAGAUUAUUCUUGCCUUUGGAACCUUCACAAAGGGCGUUACAGUCGGAGGCGAGCAGGAAUCCUUGCCACAGAAAGUCAUUUGGGAAACUGUAACCAGAGGUCAGAGUCACGUGGGUGAAUGUCAGAUUGUUCUAUCGUUGUUCUUCUACGUAUAGUGAAAGUCACAGUCCCGGAGGAAACUAUUGGAAUCAUUUGACAGCUGUGUUUGGCGAGCUUCUUGCACGAGUUUUGAUGGAGGUUGUGACUGGCAGCUGUAGCUGCCAUUCUGCUACCUGUUGAGUGGCCUUGGAACUCUUAGACAAAUGACAUGACAGGUGCACUUCCAGCUUAAGUACCUGCUCCUCUACAAAGCAGCUGCGGUGAUUGCUGGUAGGUUGCACAAGACAAAGAAAACAACAGCAAGUCUGCUCUGAAUUACGCUAUGUUUGCUCAGAUUUUCCAGUUCUGCUCUCACCAGUGCAAAGCACAGUUUGUCCGAGUAUAUCGAAUAAACCCAUUAUCUUUUGAAGAACACUCAAAUAAACACACACUCAGGAAACUGUUACAGCUGCAAGGUCAGAAUGAAGCACUUAAGGCAUAAAUGCGGGAUGUUUCUCAAGAUAAAUUUGCAUAAAUUAGAUGCAGGCAUGUGAAAAAAUAGGGUGUAUUUGGUAUAAAUAUAAUGAUAAAUCAGUGCAGCGCCUGUAAUUCGUUAAGUAGUUUUUGUUCAUAUUUUGAAUUACAUGUUAUUUCUAUAUUUUCAGUUUUCAUUUUAAUUUUAG